CCCUCCCUCGCAGCCCCACCACCACGCCUGCUGGCACCCUGGGCCCGGACUCCCCAUGGACUCUGGGGCGCCCCUAGCCCGCCCUGUCCCCAGGGCCGGGCCCGAGCGGCGGCUGCGCCCGUGCAAGUCCCAUCAGGUCUGCUCACACUUCACACACUCACACACAUACCCCGCCCCUCCACUCUUUCACUCACACUUUCUGCUCACACCCCGCCCCCUACGCGCCCCAGACCCGGGCGGCGCCCCCCGCAACCUUAAAAAAAAAAAAAAGCGAGCUUAUACUUAAAAAAAUCUUUUGGCGCCAUAUUAAUGACGUACUUAAAAUUUGCCAUUUCUCCCUGCGUCAAAAAGACGUUUCUUUGCAAAUAACAGCCUGGAGGCGACACUCGCGGAGGGAACGAGGUUUGCACUGAGCACCCCGCCCCCCGGGGCUCCAGCGCUGGAAGACCCUCGCCCUAGGCCCUGCUUCUGAAUCGCUGGUUUUAAAAUGCGAAUCGAAUAAAUUGCGUGGCGUUUUGCAGCACCAGAACUCACCUUUGGCUUUGAAGGCACGUGGGUGAGUUGUGAAUGGACACCGGAGUCGCCUUCCCUCUCCAAGACUGAAGAUUGUUUAUUCUUCCUUUCCCCUCCACCCCCUUCCAUGGGAAGAUAAAUAUUCAAUUUACAUAAGAUGACAUUUAUGUGACAAUUAAGAAGAUUCCCCGAUGGAAUGUUGUGAACACAUUUGCUUAUAGGAGAAAUAAAUCUAAUAAUAAACAAACUCAUAAUAACAGCACAAAUCCUCCGACAGGGCGGAUUGUCUACCCAACAAAGAGGGAGAUGAUGAAUGCUGAAAUAAGCAGUUUUUGCAACAAGAAAGAAAUAUGAGCUCAAAGGGAGUCACUGCAACAUUUCUUCUUCCUUGGCCUUCAUUCACAAAGUCUGAGGAGAAUUGUCUGGCAAGAGGAUGGUCUGGGUAUUACCUUCCAGUUAGACCUGGCUGUGGCUCUCAGUGGUCAAUUGGUGGUAUUUUUCUCUAGCCAAGCUCAGAGUCUGGAAACAGGUGCUGCAGACUUGGAGUGUGUAACAAAAUAGUUAAAUACUUAGGUUCUAAUCCUGGCUUUGCAUUUCAGAAGCUGUGUGAUGUGGGCAAGUGAAUUCAUCUCCCUGGAUCGCUUUUUCCUUUUGGGUAGAAUGGGGUGGUUGGAGGGUUCUUGAGGCCAUGUGUGCACAUACACAUAUAUGUAUGUACGUACAUAUACAGGUGGUAUGUGUAAAGCAGCAACUGGCACAGGGUGCAUAGUGCUCAUUAGCACCUUGCCUGGUACCUAAGUGGGUUUUUUUUAUUUUGGAAGGGUGAAAUUGUUCUCUGAAGCUUGAUGGUCAAGGUCCAGAUGUCCAUUCCGGGGUGGGAGUGAGGGUACCAGUUUACAGUGGCACAGUCUAAAGAGAUGACCUCCAGAGAUGGAUGAGGGAAGUGUGACCAUUUAAAGUGCACCUGCAGUGUACUGGUCACUUUGUGAGCCAUUCUAUCUCAUCCUCCCCCAAACCCCUUCCUCCCUUUUCAGAAAGGUUUAGUAACUUACCACAGCCACACAGCUAGUAAGUGCUGGCAGAAUUGGCUCCUAGGUCUAGCUGACCUUGAGACCUAUGUAGUUUCUAUUUUACCACACUGCCAGAAAUAAAAAGUAUUACUAUUAUUGGUUUGAUUGGGGAUGGGGGGAUCUGAUUGCUGUCUUGGCAAGAAAGAAUUUUAUGAGCAGCACUUUGCUUCUGAGGUGGUUCCCUGACUUGGGGUGAGACCCAGGCCUUCUAAUGAGCCCUUGAAAAUACCUCUUGCUUAGGACUGGAAGCCCUAUCAAAAUCCUUGGAUUCCCACAGUUCUCUGCUGCUGUUUAAGGUUAACCUUGGAAGCUUUAACAGAAUGAUAACGAUAAAGCUAAUUGUAACUCCUUAAUCUUUAUUAAAAGUCUCACAAAUCAUUCAUUAACUUUUUUUUUUUUCCUUUUUCCACAAUCUCUGCUUUGGACGUAAUCAUUCAUUAACUUUUUACAGGAAAGAAAUGAGAAGAAAGAGAGUUCUUGGAGAUGUAAUCCUUCAUUGUUUUUCAACAAGCCUCCCGUAUGCCAGAGACCAUUCUUGGUGUUGGGGACACAGCACACACACACACACAC
rnacentral:lncRNA from 10 species